AUGGGAACGCGAAGAACCUUACCUAGACUUGACAUCUCCUGAAUAGUGUAGAGAUACAUGAAGCCCUUCGGGGCAGGAAGACAGGUGGUGCAUGGUUGUCGUCAGCUCGUGUCGUGAGAUGUUGGGUUAAGUCCCGCAACGAGCGCAACCCUUAUCAUUAGUUGCUACCAUUUAGUUGAGCACUCUAGUGAGACUGCCCGGGUUAACCAGGAGGAAGGCGGGGAUGACGUCAAAUCAUCAUGCCCCUUAUGUCUAGGGCAACACACGUGCUACAAUGGUGAGUACAGAUAGAUGCGAUACCGCAAGGUGGAGUCAAACUCUAAAACUCAUCCCAGUUCGGAUUGUAGGCUGCAACUCGCCUACAUGAAGUUGGAGUUGCUAGUAAUCGCGAAUCAGAAUGUCGCGGUGAAUACGUUCCCGGGUCUUGUACACACCG
rnacentral:rRNA from 1 species